rnacentral:rRNA from 1 species
UACGUAGGUGGCAAGCGUUGUCCGGAUUUAGCUGGGCGUAAAGAGCGCGCAGGCGGUCGUUCAAGGUCGCGUCGUGAAAGCCCCCGGCUCAACUGGGGAGGGUCACGCGAUACUGAUCGACUCGAAGGCAGGAGAGGGUAGUGGAAUUCCCGGUGUAGUGGUGAAAUGCGUAGAUAUCGGGAGGAACACCAGUGGCGAAGGCGACUACCUGGCCUGUUCUUGACGCUGAGGCGCGAAAGCUAGGGGAGCAAAC